rnacentral:sRNA from 1 species
AAGCCUACAUCCUAGGCACAGGGUGCUGCCCGUUCCUGGCGAGGUGACCUAGGGAUGAAGGUACUCAUCUUCCUCCAAGACUGAGCAGUCAGGAAGGCUUCAGGAGCCCAAGAUGGCCAAUGGGGAGCCCCAGAUGUAGAACAACGGUUAUGUUUCCCAACAUGAACAUUGUCCUGGAAUGAAGUGUGAUCAGCCACUUGUGGAAUUCUGUGAAGAGCUCAGAGGCUUCACAGUGAUCUGCUCCUGAACAAGUUUGAAGACCUAUUGUUUCAUAGACCCAAGUCCAAACUCCCUGACCUGGCAUCUGAAGGAUCCCCAGCCCCCAAGACCUAGCCUUCGUCUGCGAUUUUGGCUUCAUCUCCCACGAAACCCCUUUAUGAGUUGACGCUUUUUCCUGGACUGACAUACCUAUUCCUUUCCAUUUGUUGGACUCCUAUUCAUGCUUCAAAGUCCAGCUUUCUUAAGCCCUUCUUUAGGAAGCCUUCCCACACAGCCAACCCUGCUGCUCUCUGCCUCCUUUAAAUUCUUGAUAGAGCUGCUGCUUGUUCUGAUGUUUUAUGGUAUUGAUUCUGUUUUCCUGUGUAUAUGCCAGUUUUUCUAGCUAGACUGUAAACUCCUUAAGGACAGAGACUACACCUUGUACUUUUUGUGCAUGACCUGGACUUGCUAAGGAAAAAAAAAAUCCUGUGGAUUGAUUGCUUUGCCAUCCCCACAGCAGCUUUUGCAAAUUGCUGUCCAAACUCACUUGAAUGAUGACAUUGCUAUGGACCUGGGUUCUGGACC